CUUGCAAGAACACGCAUGCUAGAUGCAGACAUCAGCUCUUAGCCCUAAUAAAUGGGCUGGAGACACAAGUGUGAAGACGCUUCCAAGAAAAACCAGUUGGUCUGUUAUUCUGUCAUGCUUCCCAGCUUCACUGACCUAUUUCCUAAUUUUUUUUUUUUUUUUUUUUUUUUUAGAAAGUACUGUUUCAUUGCUGUGCUCCAAAUUUGACCCUGCCUCUUCCAAACAGCUGUACGGCAUGAACGUUUCCUUGGGAAAUGGGAAAACGAGUUUUCCAGUCCUCCUCCUGCUACUUGAGUCUGAAGCUGUCAAGGGUCACCUCGCGUCACCUUACACGACCGCAGUGCCGUGUACACGACCGCAGUGCCGUGCACCGCCGGAACGAGCGCCGCGCUCGCUUCCCGGGGCCGGAUGGCAAACGUGAGUCCCUCGGGAGGAAUUUGACUGAGCACCGGAGACACCGACUUCGGAGGCGCCCACCACUUGCAGUGGAGGAGGUGAGUGUCGCCGGCCUCCCUCGGAGCACAGCCACCGGGGGGGAAAAAGCAUAAGGUAACGCUUUUACCCCGCUUGUCCGUGUUACCAGAGUAUUUUAAUUGAAGUAUGACAAGCAAAGCCAAUUCAAAACAUUCGUCUGUGUGAGGGGUACAUCUGGCUGGCACGCUACAGGAUCGUGCGGGGAUACCCUAGCUAGCUCUCUCUGAGCUAGUUUGAGUCCUGCAAGUAAUGCAACCAGUCUCGCGUGGCACUCUGCCCAGACUAAUCUAUCUGUCUUUCCAAAGCCAGGAAGCCUGACGGGUCUGCUUUAUUCAGUGCCUCAGUUGUCGCUAACGAGCGCUGUGUAACCGGAGCCGCAGAACAGCACAACAAUCGAUUUAAAACGGCUCUUGCAAGAGCUCCUUGCAGUUGCGUUGUCGGCCCUGUUCGCAACGAUGCAAGACGAGAGUCCGCCUAGGUAGACCGACCGUCUGGCGUUAGCGCGCACGGCAACCGCACGAGCGCGACGCGAGGUAGGAAACGCAUCUCCGUGACGGAAAACGCGCGUCCUCGCGUCAGCUCCCGAGUGCCUUCAGAAACGCCAGGGUUGGUCCACCUGCGCACCCGCUAAAGGUUACAGGUAAGACAUCACGGCCUGGGGACAGUGCUCGACCUGUGCUUGAAAAAUCCCACCUGCGGUCCGGAAUGACCCUGUCUCAGCUAUAACCGCCUUUCAAAUUCUUCAGCGCGCCGUUAAGUCAGGCCUUCGGUGAGAGGGCAGCAGAGAUGCUAAGUUUUGUUGUCUGGCCCUGGCUCUUUGCUUUGACGUUAUGAUCUGCUUUUUCCCUUCUUCUGUCUGUUUAACCUGUUUGAUUUUUUUUUCAAAGCUUUCGGCCAUCUCCUCAAGUUAUUUUUCUUUCUAGGCAUUACUACGUUUUUAUUUUGAAGUGUUACGGACACGCGUGAUGCAGGCAAACUGAUAUCUAAUGCUACACUAAAGCAGAUAGACAGACAGACAGAUAGAUACAGAGGAAUCCCAGCUUCCCAGUAUCAUCAUAUUUAUUAGACGUAUCCUGUUAUACACAGGCGACCCUAAUGAAGGCAACGCAGCUGCUCAUGUGUAAAAACAGCAGAACUUGAUCCGCUGAGUUCGACGGGACCUGGCGGCUCUCCAAAUUUUCUGAACCGAACUAGUCUCGUUUCAGACGUCACCGUCACCGGUUGGAGCCAGUCCCCUCCAAUAGCAGAGUGGCGCUUCCCAGAGGCAGCGCUCUGUAGAAUUGGUGAUCAUAACACGGCCUCUGCAAAUAUGAUCUCAGUGACUCUAUGUACGCUCUCAGCUGGAGGGGAAACUAGUGUACUGUGCCUUAUGUAAUAACUUGCAAAACAGUACUUACCAGAACGUGUCAUAGCCCGAGUUCUUUGCGCAGGCCCAUUUGUAAAAGUCGCGGAGAAAUGCCAGUUCAACAGACGGUAACGAGUCAGAAACCUGCACCUCUCUUCCUGAGCGCUCUCCUCGAAACUGCAGUUUCAGUUUGUCCCCCGACCCCUCUCUAUCUAGCCUUUCUUCUCAAACUUGGAAAGAGCAAGCAGAAGUACCUAAUCCGGCUGUUGGAGGCCCUCCCUGCUGGGUCCUCUCCAGAGCACGGUGACCCAAACCUCCGUCCCUGCUCCCGCCGGGACAUCGCCAUGCCCUGCAUCCGGGCUAAGACUAGAGCGCAGAGGAACUUCGGAGAGGUUUUUCGGUCCCUGUGCCUCGGUAAGUGGCAACGCUCAUAGGUGGUCUUUUCCGUUUGUCUCCACGGCUAAUGCUCUCCUCGGCUCCGAUCGUUUCCCGCCUCGAGUACUCCUGCGUGCCUUUCGCUGGUUUCGGGAAAAGGAUGUUUUCAGACUGCCCGUACGCAGGCAGCGUCUUGCUGAAAAUCGCUUCUCCCUUAGCUAAAGCGGCUGCACUAGCUCUCUUCCCAUCUGUCCUCAUAUGUGAAAAUACAAUCCCGUUUUCUGUGAUGUUACAAAAGUGGUUAGCCUGAUGGUGAGAAACAGCACACGAGCGUUUUGGCCACGGGCUCCUUGCGCGUUCCUCCCUGUUUGUAUUGUCUGCAUGUUGUACCUGGAAAACGUGUUGUCUCCAUCCUGUGGAGUUCAGAGUCUCUUUCUUUGCGCCGCCUUUGUGCAGCGCCUGGCACGAAGGGGUUGUAAUAGUAAGGGUUUGCAAUUGGCAUGAAAGCCUAAAUUACAAUGAUGUCUUUCAGUUAUACGGAACGAAUGUGAAUGCUAUUUACAGUAACCUGGAAUAGCAAGUAUCCUUCUGGGGUGUUUCUUCUGCACGGAGACGUUGAUGCUUCCUGCAGUUGAAGCAGAUAUCUAUCUAUCUAUCAUCUGGAACGUCGAGCCUCUGGGCAAUGUGGGGAGCUGAAAAUCCAGAGGGGUGAGAUAGACAAGCUGCCAACGAUUGUUUUCAAAGGUUAAAAAAGAGAAUAAUUAGUAUCCUAGGACUUUUAAGGGGAAAAGUGCAACAAACGAGUCGGUGGUGAGAUGCUGGAAGCUGCCGCUGUUUUGUUUCUGUACCACCUGGCAGCCCAAAAGGAUGCAACUAAGGAUAAAAAAUCUGCUAACGUUUGCUAUUGUAUCGUUAACCCCAUGGAGCGGUGUCAUCGUUGUAAAAGGUAAACUUCCCGGUUGCGUGGCGGACCGGGCUGGGAGGAAGCAGUUUUACCCAAGUGACGUGUUGAGCCCAACUCAUACAGUAACUGCAACACCUGUGUGAGAUGGAAAAUGGUAUCAUUCCUACUGUUAUUCGCUGAAACGCACACGGGUUCAGUACUGGGAGAAGGAACUCAUCGCUAUCUAGCCCUGACCGAUAUGCCAGCAGGUGACUGCUUUUGGAGCCAGUACUUUGGCCUCAGAGAAGACUAUGUGCAAACAUACAGACUCUAUUGUGUCUUCCUCAGGACCCUUUUUCUGCCAGCAUGUCAAUUAGAUGCUAAUCGAAAGGUGCGCUGGGAAAACGUCUCCUGGCGCACGGCGGUCUGGAGCAACGCGCAGCACGUUCAUCGUUAUGUUAGUGUGGGAUCCCCAAAGGCAGCAUUGCCUUCAAGGCGUACUUGAGCACGCCCAAGUUUUCUCUUGUGUCGGUGGCAAAGCCACUGGUAAGAUCUGUCAUUCAUAAAAACGCAAACACUCCCUAGGCUAUGCAGACCACUUGGACAUCGAAAAGUAAAAUAACGAUGUGCCUUAGUGGGCUAUUUUUUUUUUUCCACGUGCAAGUCAGGAGUGGUUUGUUAUGUGUGUAUGUCCACUGUUGUUCCCCUUUUAGAGAUGACCUAAAUGAGGCACGGAGCUUGCGGCACUAUGUGUUUAAAUGGCGCUAGCUGGACCCCUGUGCCGUUUGGCCGCUCCCAGUGGUAAAGCACUGGUGAGUCGCUGGGAUUUUUCACCCGGAUACGGAGUUGCACCUAACGGUAAGUCCUGUGUGUUCCCUAGCUAAACAAAGGCACAGAAAGCGAAGAAGGCAAAAGUGGCGCAAACUCCGGACACCGUUGAAGUCACUUACCGCAAGGCAGCUCAAGGGCGGGGGACAGACGCGCGGCUCCUCAGUCUCAGCGUGUUCCAGCCCUCACAUCAGGUGAUCCUCCAGAAACUUGCGCGCCUUUCCAGAGUCACGUGAACCUCUUCUCUGAAAAGAGAGAGAGGCAACUCUCUGGCAUGGUAUUCCCGCACGAGUAAACGUCCGUGGACUUUCAGGUAACCAAAUAAUAAAGCUGAAGAUGUAACUGAGAACGACUUUGCC
ensembl:lncRNA